rnacentral:tRNA from 1 species
GGGGAUAUAGCUCAGNAGUAGAACACUUGGCUAGCAUACAUGAGGCCUUGGGUUCAAACCCCAGUACCCCA